AAUAACCUAAUAAACCCCAAAUAAACGAUCUGAUUGUACAUGUUCAUAUUACUCUGUUUGAAUAAUAAAGCGAUAAGCGAUAACAUGAACUACGACAACCUGCACACCACCUGUACACGUUGUUUGCGGACCUUUCGAAAAACACACAGAGACAGUUUGCUUACAGAUGAGCACACGGCAACGAAUAAAAUGGCGGUACUGGCACAAGUGCAGAGUAAUCAAUUAAUUAGGUAAAUAUUUACGUAGUGACGCAAUUAUAUUAUGAACUAGAGAACUGUAAUGGAUUAAUGGCUUUUUCCAAACUAACACAAACGCACUUAAGUGUUCAGUGAUUGAGAAAUAUACUUUUCAUAAUAAAAAAAAAAAACAGUAUGACUUGGUAACCGA